CUGAAGAUGGCGGCCAGCAGCCAGGGAGCAGCGAUGAGCAGGUGCAUCCCCGGGGGAUGGUGAGAGGCAGUCACUCCUCCCACCUACGCGGGGGCACUUCGGCUGGCGGCUGUUGGCGCGCCCUCUGCCAGCCGGCUAGCCGGUGCAGGAUCCACAAUCUUCAAGGGUGGCCAGGUGCUUCCAAGAUCCUAAACGCAGUUAACCACUCGGCGAGGUAGAAAACAGGCCCAGAGAAGUUCAAGAACUUGCUGUAGAAGAUUACUGAACGAGUAAGCAGCAGAGGCCGGUCUAGAACCAGCCCCGUGUGCCCUUCUGACAGCGCAGCAGCAGCACUUAACACCUAACCGGCUUGGCUAAAUUCUAUGUGAGAGGCACUGGUGCUGACGGUAAAAAUAAAAACAAAACACCAUCCAGUCCAGAGGCAGCUUACAGCUCAAUAGAGAAGGAUGAAUUCAAAAUUCUUCUGGCAUUAUUACUUGCCAAAGAAGAGUGGGGACAUGUGUCCCUCUUCUGCCAUACUGUGACCUGGACAGAAGAAAGUGAAUAACGACAUUUUUCUCCCUGAAGCCUUCGGGAGCUUGGCCUGCAGAAGCCUCUUCUUGGUUAGGACUCAGAACCCUCUCAGAACAUUGUGACCUGCCAGAGCUGGCAUUGCACAGAGACCUUCCUGGGCAACCCUUGAUUCACCGUCCCAUAAAUGUCCAGAUGGAGGAAGUGGUCUGGGGAAGAUGGACCAUUACGAAGAUUAAUGCACCUUUUAUAGCUAGGAGCAGCCCUUGAUGUUGCCAUUGCCUUCUGUUAGGUUGGUUUAACACUGAGUUUGAUGGCCAGUAAACAGGUAAAAGGAAUUGUAUGAAGGACAGGAGGGUUAACCUGGCCAGUUUUGACUUCAGGGACUCCCAGAAAGUCUCCAUUUGGCUCUUCUAAUCAUAAAAUAACCUGUAUAGUCACAAAAUGUUGCAGUUGAAAGAGACUCAUCUUUUGGUUCUGGCCAAGAGGCUGAGGACUAUGGAAAGGACCUCAAAGAUCAUCAAGUCCCAUUCUUUCAUUUUCCAGAAGAAAGUCCAAACUGAAAGCCAAAGAGACAGGUGGAGUUCUUUUUUUUUUUUUUUUAAGACAGAGUUUCGCUCUUGUCUCCCAGGCUGGAGUGCAAUGGUAGGAUCUUGGCUCACCGCAACCUCCACCUCCCGGGUUCAAGCGAUUCUUCUGCCUCAGCCUCCCGAGUAGCUGGGAUUACAGGCAUGCGCCACCACACCCAGCUAAUUUUUGUAUUUUUAGUAGAGACUGGGUUUCUCCGUGUUGGUCAGGCUGGUCUCGAAUUCCCGACCUUAGUUGAUCUGCCUGCCUCGGCCUCCCAAAGUGCUGGGAUUACAAGCUUGAGACACCACGCCCAGCCUACAAAUGGCAUUCUUAACAUGGCACAGAGCUGGUCUAGACUGGAGCAGGGGAGGGCCGGGACCUAAGUCUCUUUUUUCCCCUUCUGUGCACCGCUCCCUGAGGGCAGCAGUUCCUCAUCCUGGUUGCACAUUCAAAUCUCCAGGACAAAUUGUAAAAUGCCUAAGCCUCACCCACAGUGAUUCUGAUUCGCUGCCUUAGGGCAAAACAUUCAGCCCUGGAGCCAAUAAAGCCAACUAAACUUCUACGAUGGGCUGUGUAAUAAUUUGUAUAGUAUAUGAUUUGUGCUUUUAUAGGGGCUUUUAGAGAGUAGAUCAGAGAAAUGACUCGAAUAGUGGUAAGAAUUUCAGUCGCCCCAUCGGAUCAGGGGCAUAUGUGUGUACAGUGGUUUUGGGAGGCUCUCAGGCCUGUGAGGGGAUCUAGUGCCUAGGCAUCCUGGCAGCCGGAAACACAGAGGAACUCUAUAAAGGGCUUUCCCUCUCUAGUGCCUAGGCAUCCUGGAAUCUAGAGAGGGGUAGCUCUUUAUAGAAUAGGAACACUCUCCCUGGAAGCCCCUCGGCAGACCUCAGCUCCAAGGGGGAAGAGGCAGAGUUAGUACGAGAUAGUUUCAUUGGCAAUGGGGCUGGAGUCUCCAGGGGUACGUACUUAGCUCUCUGACAUGACUUCUUAGAAGAGGAGGCAAUCUUACUAUGCUCAAAUAACACCAC
rnacentral:lncRNA from 1 species